UCUCCUGUAGCUCAGUGGUAGAGCAUCCAACCGGUUUGCGGAAGGUCAUAGGUUCGACUCCUGUUGGGAGAA
rnacentral:tRNA from 1 species